UACGUAGGGGGCGAGCGUUGUCCGGAUUUAUUGGGCGUAAAGCGCUCGCAGGUGGUUCAUUGCGUCGUGCGUGAAAGACCCCGGCUCAACUGGGGAGGGUCGUGCGAAACGGGUGAACUAGAGGCCAGUAGGGGGAUGCGGAAUUCCGGGUGUAGUGGUGGAAUGCGUAGAGAUCCGGAGGAACACCAGCGGCGAAGGCGGCAUCCUGGACUGGUCCUGACACUCAGGAGCGAAAGCGUGGGGAGCGAUCCGG
rnacentral:rRNA from 1 species